UACCCCAGUAGAUUAUAUAUUACUAAUCUAAUAAUUUUAGUAACAUGAUUUAUUCAAAAUCAAAGUUUCUUAAUUGGUUGUCUGUUUACUUACCAUGUGACAGUGGAUCGACACUUUACUCUUAAAAUGUACAGUGAAAUGAGCUUAUACUUUGUGUAGUAGUAUAUGAAGUACUAAGUAGAACUAUGAGGCAACUUCGAUGGAAUCCAGUCUCUAAAUUGGCAGAAUUUAUUUAAUUAAAGGGUCAAGUUUGGUCAUUGACUUAAAUUUAUUUAACUAUACGAAAACUUAGUAAUGUAUUACUCCAAAAAUAUACAGUAAAAGUAACGGAUAUUUGCUGUAGUAGAACAGGAGUUAUCAAAGGGCAAAGUUCAGCUACUGGUGUCAGUUGAACUUACUGAAUGAUACUUUAUGCAUUAUUUAAAAACUAUGCAGUAAAAUAAGUUGAUAUUUCCUGUGGUAGUAGUCUAUAAAGUACUAGGUAGUGAUGUCCCAAUUUGAGUAAUUUAUUCAAAUCCAAGAUUUAGAAAAAGAGGCAAAUUGCCUCUUUAUAUUUUCCGUUAGUGAAUAUAUUUAGACAUUCACUGUAAAUUCUGUAAUUUCUUAAAUUUAAUUCAUUUCCUUGCAACAUUUAUCUUAAUAUCGCCCCAGAUGCUCCUAAAAGUGAGAGUCUCGGCUUUUCUCAGUGAUCGCAACAGUUACCGUAACUAUAGCACGAAUCGCGCACCUUGAAUAUAGCGACGGCUCAUUUGACCACGGAAAAGUAAACGGCGGUUCAUUUGACCGUGGUGACACACCGGAGCAAACGGCAACUGUAGCUUGUUUGAUCCUUUCGGUAAUUAAUCUUACUGCAUCUAUUUAUGACAAUGAGUAGCACAUGUGUACAGCGAGCGGCGCUACAAUAAGUAUAGUGAAUUUUACUGUCUUGUCGUCUGCGUUAGAUUAAAGAUUAUGACACAAUAAAAAAGUGCUACCACUAGCAUCAUAAUGGCUCAGAGAACUUUCCUUUUACGAUGCAAACAAAUCGUUAAUGAGUGUACUCGACUUCUACAAGGGGACAGUCCACCAGAUGACGCAUUUCAAACAGUUCUAACAAGAAUGGAAACCCUUAAACGCUGUCUGGAAUGCUCAAGAGGGAGGUUGAUGGAUGCAACAGCAGUACAAGACAUCCUUGAAAACAUUGAGAAAUAUACUCAGGAGGUCAAGGAAAUGCAACAGGGGGCUCAACAAGUGCUUAUAGACACAAGCUUCUACGGCGAUAAAGAGGCACGUGAUGGCUGGACUGUCAUGCGAGGUGGUGUCAGCAAAAGUAAAACUCACAAGUCAUAGAGUCAAUUGACUCUCUGCAUAUUCGUUGAACCGAGGGCUGCUUGAAGUGCUGUUUCUGUUGUAAUAGAGAUUAACGUGCACACGCAUCAUAGACCAGAAGCACAAGUGGCCAUUGGUUUUAAUGCUGUCAACUAGGGCUCAAGCAUGCAUUAAAGAGUCCAUUUACCUAAGA